UCUAUUUGUCCAUUUCUUUAUUCUUUUGUGUCUUUUUGUCAGUGCAAUGUAUUUCAUAUUCCAGCAGUGCCAAAAUAUAUUGUUUUAAGCAAAAGUUAGAGACUUUAUUUAACUGAGGUCAAUCUAGGACAGGGAUAGACCUACGUCAACAUUAUCCCACUUUUGAAACACUUAGAUAAGUACAUGUACUAUAAUGUAGUAUGUACACUGAUUCAAAAUUAAGAAUACAUCAAAUCUUUAGUGUGAGGCUUGAGGUUGCAACUAACUACUUUGUAGGCAAAGAGUGCACCAACCUACACGUCGAAGAAGUGCAUUUUGAUUCUGAUCCUUUGAGAAAUGUUUUAGUAAAUAUGUAUGCAAAGCAACAUCAUAAGCCUCUGGAAAUAUAAAAGAAGAAAUCAUGGGGAGUAACUACAAAAAAGAGAUGGUCAAAACCUUUUUAUCAAAGAGAUGUUCCAAGAGGUGAUGGCUUUGAAAGUGACGCACAUACUUGUGUUUGCUGAAGAGCUAUGUUGCUCGUACUCUCCAAAAAUGCUGCCUCACCCCGUGUCGAAUCCUCCAGAAGUACACUAUUUUUGGAGGAUCCGACAUGCACCCAUUGGCAUUUUUGAAGAGUUUGGGCAACAUAGCUGAGGAGGCAUGUUGCCUGGAGCUGAGUUUCAUGCCUUCAUUCAAGUAGAGCAUAUUGUUUUGAAGUGCUUGUUCUAGUUAUGCACCAAACAUACCUAGUCACCAUGGCUAGCCUUUCUUGUGAGAUGAUUCUUUUUUUUCUGAAAAUAUGGUUUGUUUUUCUGAAACUGUGAGACGAUUCUCUUUUAUGCCACUUAAAUAAUGUGAAUAGCUUUAACAGUAUUAAAACCAUGAGUGCUUGGCUGAUUGCUCUCUUCUUGCCAAUAGUAGUAAAGAUAUGGCAGUAUCAAAUCUGUUUUGAGUUUAUGGAACACAUAUUGGUAUAAUGAUAGGAUUAAGGA